UGGGCGUGGAGACAGGGAGAGGUGGAAAAUGAAGAACUUUAGUGCAAUCUACCAGAGGAAACCAACCUUUAGGCCCACUGAUGAUAUAAAGAAACUGAAAUUCACCAGAUCAUUCCAUCUGGAGAAUGAGACCACAGCCUCCUCACUCAUCUUGAUUGCCAAACGAAUCACACGUUGCCUGCUGACCAACUACUCGUCCUUACCCCUCCCUAAUUGCUGUUUUUCUGCAGGUAGUACAUUUCUUCUUUGCUAUAUAAAUCUCCAAUUUUAGUUGGUUGAGGAGACAGAUUUGAGUGUGAUCUGUUCUCCUUGGAUGCUGCACCUGAUUAUAGCCCUCUUCCCUGGCAAUACUCAUUGUCUCAGUGAUUGGCUUUCUGUGUGGCAAGCAACUGACCUACAGCACAACCCUGGUGUCGGGGUAACAAAAGUAUUCUUGGAAAGGAAGGCGCUGAUUUGCAAUUAAGCUGUUUCUCAUAUGGCAACUCUGUAUGGUAUUUUCCACCCUGUUUAGAAGCUGUGUUUUAUUUAAUAAUGGAAAACAAGUAUUCCUCAAAAUUUUCCCCGUAAAUGGGCUUUCAAAUGAAUAGAAUACUGGUCCUUUUUGAAAUUGUGUGAAGAUUCUUACAUAAUGCUUUAUUCCAUGUUUCUAUGAUUUAAAAUUAUGUUUCCAAUUCCAAUGGUUAAACACAACUUACUUACAUACUCCCUACUGUCUGCUUUACACAAACUAUUUCUUAAUACUGCGGUUGACUGUAACAUACUAUUUGUAUGCUUAUACAUUUGUUAAACAGCUCAGAAUAAAACCCGGAUAUUUGAAUAUCUACCCCAAAUAUAAAAGUAGUAUUUUGAGCAGAAACCUGUGAUUUUUAACUGCCAACACUAUAGUUAUUCUUAAAUAAAAGAUAACAUCUUUAAAAAUAAACAAAAUAUGUUAAUUUUAAACAGUAAAGGACAUCAAAAAAAUUUAAUAAAAAUGAUUCUUUAUGAAUUUCUUUACUAUUUAUUAUUUUUAAGAUUCAUAUCCUGUGUUUGAACUCAACAACUUUUGGACUGGGUUAAGAUAUAUCGUUAAAUUCGGCUAAAGCAGUGUUGUCAGAUGUUUAGGAUUCAUAUAAAUUAUUACCCUCUAGUUUAUUAUCUUCAAAUCUUUCUUCAAUUAUUGAAGAGUUUCAUUUAAAAUAUAUUAGAAAUAAUUUAAAAAGUAUAUAUUU
rnacentral:lncRNA from 1 species